GGCACUAAAAAUACUAGAAGUUACCUGUUUGUCACGAACUCGCAAUGUUAACUUAUCAUCAUGCACAUCAAUCAAUGUUUUACUCGCUUCAAAAAAGGGUCUUCCAAGUAUGAAUGAAACUUCUCUAUCAACUUCCAUAUCAAAAACCAUAAAGUCGAUAGGGAAUAUGAAGUUCUCCAUCUUUACUAGCAAAUCCUACACUAUUCCUAAGAGGUAUCUCA
rnacentral:lncRNA from 1 species